rnacentral:rRNA from 1 species
CCUACGGGAGGCAGCAGUGAGGAAUAUUGGUCAAUGGGCGCGAGCCUGAACCAGCCAAGUAGCGUGAAGGAUGACUGCCCUACGGGUUGUAAACUUCUUUUAUAAAGGAAUAAAGUGAGGCACGUGUGCCUUUUUGUAUGUACUUUAUGAAUAAGGAUCGGCUAACUCCGUGCCAGCAGCCGCGGUAAUACGGAGGAUCCGAGCGUUAUCCGGUUUUAUUGGGUUUAAAGGGAGCGUAGAUGGGUUGUUAAGUCAGUUGUGAAAGUUUGCGGCUCAACCGUAAAAUUGCAAUUGAUACUGGCGGUCUUGAGUGCAGUUGAGGUAGGCGGAAUUCGUGGUGUAGCGGUGAAAUGCUUAGAUAUCACGAAGAACUCCGAUUGCGAAGGCAGCUUACUAAACUGCCACUGACAUUGAUGCUCGAAAGUGUGGGUAUCAAACAGGAUUAGAUACCCGAGUAGUC